rnacentral:rRNA from 1 species
CAGCAGUCGCCGCGGUAAUACGUAGGUGGCAAGCGUUGUCCGGAAUUAUUGGGCGUAAAAGGCUCGCAGGCGGUUUCUUAAGUCUGAUGUGAAAGCCCCCGGCUCAACCGGGGAGGGUCAUUGGAAACUGGGAAACUUGAGUGCAGAAGAGGAGAGUGGAAUUCCACGUGUAGCGGUGAAAUGCGUAGAGAUGUGGAGGAACACCAGUGGCGAAGGCGACUCUCUGGUCUGUAACUGACGCUGAGGAGCGAAAGCGUGGGGAGCGAACAGGAUUAGAUACCCCUGUAGUCCCUGUCUCUUAUAC